rnacentral:rRNA from 1 species
UCCUACGGGAGGCAGCAGUGGGGAAUAUUGCACAAUGGACGAAAGUCUGAUGCAGCAACGCCGCGUGGAGGAUGACACAUUUCGGUGCGUAAACUCCUUUUAUAUAGGAAGAUAAUGACGGUACUAUAUGAAUAAGCACCGGCUAACUCCGUGCCAGCAGCCGCGGUAAUACGGAGGGUGCAAGCGUUACUCGGAAUCACUGGGCGUAAAGAGCGUGUAGGCGGGUAUAUAAGUCAGAAGUGAAAUCCAAUAGCUUAACUAUUGAACUGCUUUUGAAACGGUAUACCUAGAAUGUGGGAGAGGUAGAUGGAAUUUCUGGUGUAGGGGUAAAAUCCGUAGAGAUCAGAAGGAAUACCGAUUGCGAAGGCGAUCUACUGGAACAUUAUUGACGCUGAGACGCGAAAGCGUGGGGAGCAAACAGGAUUAGAUACCCGGGUAGUC